AGGGUCCGAGCGUUGUCCGGAAUUAUUGGGCGGAAAGGGCUCGUAGGCGGUUUGUCGCGUCGGGAGUGAAAACUCAGGGCUCAACCCUGAGCGUGCUUCCGAUACGGGCAGACUAGAGGUAUGCAGGGGAGAACGGAAUUCCUGGUGUAGCGGUGGAAUGCGCAGAUAUCAGGAGGAACACCGGUGGCGAAGGCGGUUCUCUGGGCAUGACCUGACGCUGAGGAGCGAAAGCAUGGGGAGCGAACAGG
rnacentral:rRNA from 1 species